GGUACGGCAUAUGUCGCCAUCGCGGUUUACCGGGAAGUCGUUACGAACAGAUGAGAAGCUUGCUUCUCUGAUGUUAGCGGCGGACGGGUGAGUAACACGUGGGUAACCUACCUAUAAGACUGGGAUAACUCCGGGAAACCGGGGCUAAUACCGGAUAAUAUUUUGAACCGCAUGGUUCAAUAGUGAAAGACGGUUUCGGCUGUCACUUAUAGAUGGACCCGCGCCGUAUUAGCUAGUUGGUAAGGUAACGGCUUACCAAGGCGACGAUACGUAGCCGACCUGAGAGGGUGAUCGGCCACACUGGAACUGAGACACGGUCCAGACUCCUACGGGAGGCAGCAGUAGGGAAUCUUCCGCAAUGGGCGAAAGCCUGACGGAGCAACGCCGCGUGAGUGAUGAAGGUCUUCGGAUCGUAAAACUCUGUUGUUAGGGAAGAACAAAUUUGUUAGUAACUGAACAAGUCUUGACGGUACCUAACCAGAAAGCCACGGCUAACUACGUGCCAGCAGCCGCGGUAAUACGUAGGUGGCAAGCGUUAUCCGGAAUUAUUGGGCGUAAAGCGCGCGUAGGCGGUUUCUUAAGUCUGAUGUGAAAGCCCACGGCUCAACCGUGGAGGGUCAUUGGAAACUGGGAAACUUGAGUGCAGAAGAGGAGAGUGGAAUUCCAUGUGUAGCGGUGAAAUGCGCAGAGAUAUGGAGGAACACCAGUGCGAAGCGGCUCUCUGGUCUGUACUGACGCUGAUGUGCGAAAGCGUGGGGAUCAAACAGAUUAGAUACCCUGGUAGUCCACGCCGUAAACGAUGAUGCUAAUGUUAGGGGUUUCCGCCCAUUAUUGCUGCA
rnacentral:rRNA from 2 species